UACGGGGGGGGCAAGCGUUGUUCGGAAUUACUGGGCGUAAAGGGCUCGUAGGUGGCCAACUAAGUCAGACGUGAAAUCCCUCGGCUUAACCGGGGAACUGCGUCUGAUACUGGAUGGCUUGAGUUCGGGAGAGGGAUGCGGAAUUCCAGGUGUAGCGGUGAAAUGCGUAGAUAUCAAGAGGAACACCUGAGGCGAAGGCGGGUUGCUAGGCUGACACUGACGCUGAGUGCGCGAAAGCCAGGGGAGCAAACGGG
rnacentral:rRNA from 1 species